rnacentral:rRNA from 1 species
UGGCGGACGGGUGAGUAAUGUCUGGGAAACUGCCCGAUGGAGGGGGAUAACUACUGGAAACGGUAGCUAAUACCGCAUAACGUCGCAAGACCAAAGAGGGGGACCUUCGGGCCUCUUGCCAUCGGAUGUGCCCAGAUGGGAUUAGCUAGUAGGUGGGGUAACGGCUCACCUAGGCGACGAUCCCUAGCUGGUCUGAGAGGAUGACCAGCCACACUGGAACUGAGACACGGUCCAA